GUAUUCUAAGGCGCUUGAGAGAACUCAGGAGAAGGAACUCGGCAAAUUGACACCGUAACUUCGGAAGAAGGUGUGCCUUUAGUAGGUGAAGGGAUUUACUCCUGGAGCCCAAUGAGGUUGCAAAAAAUCGGUGGCUGCGACUGUUUAUUAAAAACACAGCACUCUGCAAACACGAAAGUGGACGUAUAGGGUGUGACGCCUGCCCGGUGCUGGAAGAUUAAAUGAUGGGGUGCAAGCUCUUGAUUGAAGUCCCAGUAAACGGCGGCCGUAACAAUAACGGUCCUAAGGUAGCGAAAUUCCUUGUCGGGUAAGUUCCGACCUGCACGAAUGGCGUAACGAUGGCCACACUGUCUCCUCCUGAGACUCAGCGAAGUUGAAAUGUUUAUGAUGAUGCAAUCUCCCCGCGGAAAGACGGAAAGACCCCAUGAACCUUUACUGUAGCUUUGUAUUGGACUUUGAACAGAUCUGUGUAGGAUAGGUGGGAGGCUUUGAAGCAGGGUCGCUAGAUCUUGUGGAGCCAACGUUGAAAUACCACCCUGGUGUGUUUGAGGUUCUAACCUAGGCCCAUUAUCUGGAUCGGGGACAGUGCAUGGUAGGCAGUUUGACUGGGGCGGUCUCCUCCCAAAGCGUAACGGAGGAGUUCGAAGGUACGCUAGUUACGGUCGGACAUCGUGACGAUAGUGCAAUGGCAUAAGCGUGCUUAACUGCGAGACUGACAAGUCGAGCAGAUGCGAAAGCAGGACAUAGUGAUCCGGUGGUUCUGUAUGGAAGGGCCAUCGCUCAACGGAUAAAAGGUACUCUGGGGAUAACAGGCUGAUACCGCCCAAGAGUUCAUAUCGACGGCGGUGUUUGGCACCUCGAUGUCGGCUCAUCUCAUCCUGGGGCUGUAGCCGGUCCCAAGGGUAUGGCUGUUCGCCAUUUAAAGAGGUACGUGAGCUGGGUUUAAAACGUCGUGAGACAGUUUGGUCCCUAUCUUCCGUGGGCGCUGCAGAUUUGAGGAAGCCUGCUCCUAGUACGAGAGGACCGGAGUGGACACACCUCUGGUGUAUCGGUUGUCACGCCAGUGGCAUUGCCGAGUAGCUAAGUGUGGAAGAGAUAACCGCUGAAAGCAUCUAAGCGGGAAACUCGUUUCAAGAUGAGAUCUGCCGGGGCCUUGAGCCCCCUAAAGAGUCGUUCAAGACCAGGACGUUGAUAGGCAGGGUGUGGAAGCGCAGUAAUGCGUUAAGCUAACCUGUACUAAUUGCUCGUGCGGCUUGAUC
rnacentral:rRNA from 1 species